rnacentral:rRNA from 1 species
AUUGAACGCUAGCGGGAUGCUUUACACAUGCAAGUCGAACGAGUGGCGGACGGGUGAGUAAUGUAUGGGGACUGCCCGAUAGAGGGGGAUAACUACUGGAAACGGUAGCUAAUACCGCAUACUAUCGGAUAACCCAUAUGGGAUUAGCUAGUAGGUGAGGUAAUGGCUCACCUAGGCGACGAUCCCUAGCUGGUCUGAGAGGAUGAUACGGCAAACUGGGACGUAGACACGGCCCAGACUCCUAUGGGGGCAGCAGUGGGGAAGAUGGCACAAGGGGCGCAAGACUUAUGCAGCCAUGCAGCGUGUAUGAAGAAGGCCCUAGGGUUGUAAAGUACUUUCAGUCGGGAGGCGUUACCGACAGAAGAAGCACCGGCUAACUCCGUGCCAGCAGCCGCGGUAAUUC